rnacentral:rRNA from 1 species
UACGGGGGGGGCAAGCGUUGUUCGGAUUUACUGGGCGUAAAGGGCGCGUAGGCGGCGCGACAAGUCACUUGUGAAAUCUCCGGGCUUAACCCGGAGCGGCCAAGUGAUACUGUCGUGCUGGAGUGCGGAAGGGGCCACCGGAAUUCUCGGUGUAGCGGUGAAAUGCGUAGAUAUCGAGAGGAACACCUGCGGCGAAGGCGGGUUGCUGGGCUGACACUGACGCUGAGGCGCGAAAGCUAGGGGAGCGAACGGG